CGGUUGCGUAACUUCGACAAGGGCAUCAACAUCAGCAGAAUGCGUUGUGCGCGUUGGGCGUAUGUACCUCGGUGGUAUCAAAAUGCAAAAAAAGUGUGCCAUCAGGUCGCUGAUGUUAUUUUGGUGGUGUUGUGAUUUUAUCAUGGGUUUUUAUGACUUCGAACGGUCGCAUUGCUGGGCGAGGAGCCAGGCACGCCAGGAGAUUAUGCAGCACUUCAGAAGCAGCAUAACUGAUGCUGAAUCAGCGUAGCUUCCACGUGUGACGGUUUCACAUUUGCCUCAAGGCGGAAGAAAAAAGCAAUAAAAAAUACCACUGCUGCCCUUCGGCCUCUGUUCGCCGCAGAAGGCGCCUGUCAAGUUACGCGGAUUCGACUCACUGGCCUAAACGAACAUUGGUAGUCAAGGAGCUCAAGUGCGCUGGUGUGGAUGACUCUUAUCCCUUCUGCUGUGGUUGCCUUAGGAGCUGCUUUUUGUCUGCAUGGCCCUCCCAUUGGUCUCCUACAUAAGGAGAGUUCAGUUGGACAGUGUCUGUGGGCACUAAUCAUCGAACCAUGGCAUAUGCCUAAUUGGAAGCCACCAAAAGACAAACUGUUUGAUGUUGGAAGUGCUAAACCCAGUGUACCAGCUGGAAAUAUGAGGAACAUUCUGCGAAAGGAGGAGAAGCAGCGGCAAGAAAGAAAAAGAUAGUCAACAGUUUCUGGUUCACUACAGAAAGAGAAAAGAGGAAAUAUCAAGGCAAGUGCAGCAAUCUGGGACUUCUGAACGUGCGGAAGCAAAUGGUAACCGUGAAAGAGACCAACACUUAUACCUUAUAUCCACUGGUUGUCGCACCACCUAUGGAAAAGAGCCUGCCGAGGGUGCAAAAGCGGCGUGGCAGCAGACGAAGAAACCCCUUUGAAAAACAAUAUAGCAAGCAUUCCGUGCCCUCUGUGAACCUGACGCGAAUACCAAAGAACAUCUGUGAGGAAAGUGUUGUGCUCUUCAACGAAGAAAACCGGAGCUGACGAAAACACGACAACAUGAAGGACGACCUUUAUUCUUCGAGACCGAGGUGUUUUGGCAGUGCGACGUCACAAGCUGACGUCCAAUGCACUCCUUCGGGAAUUAGCUCGGCUACAGCGGCCAUUGCCCACUAAAUAUUUCAGCAUUUAAAGAACAUUUAUCUGGCUCUCGGAAAUAACACCCUCAACUCAUCAGGUUUAGCAUAUUUCAGUCAAUUGUGAUGUUACAGGGUGCUUGUGAUCACUCCUCUGAUCACCUGUGAUCACUCCUGGGCUCAAUACCAGAUUGGAAGGGAAAACCAUCAAGUGAGAAAGCAGUGCCAACGCUAAUGCCGCUGAGCGUAGUAAUCGUAUAUUCAAUUACGUGGUGCGCAGCGGUUUAGAGUUGGUGUCGUAACUCGCCGACGAACAUUGAUCAGUUAAAACCGACUGUGACGAACAAGGAAGAAAAAGACUGGUGCAAGAGGCCUAAGAGUUACUUCAUUAGGCGCACAUAAUCGAAGAGAACGGCAUGAAGAACCGUCACAGAGCGAUUGGUAAUGCAGUCAUUGAAUAUCGUGUAAUUCAUAUUGCCUAUGAACUGGCUAUGAAUGUUUACACAAAACAAGUGUCAAUGGCUUUGAAAAAAAGAAUUUUUUUCGCACUGUUUUCAACACUGCAGAAGCAAAGCCAAAAUAGUGUCGUAAGCAUCACUCGUGCGUCCAUUCUUUGAAUCAGUCGAUGUUUUCUUGCGAACAGGCACGUAAGCAGACCUUAACUGCCGUCAAUGGCUUUAAAUUGAAACACUAAAAUUCGUUUGCAGCACCUUUGCAGACUAUGACAUUCCGCGACUGUCAUUCUGUGUCAGGCCGCACGGCUGUUCUAUGUUCGAGGAGUGCAGAAAGUUGCAAGUUUAAAUCAUGCACUGCCAAAGGGUGGGUACAGAAGCCGAAAUUUAAUCUGGCAGCUGCGCGCAAUAAAAAAAUAUGUAAACAUUAAAUAUUUUCGCGCCCCAAUCAAGAAGCAAACGUAUACCACGGUUCAUUUCAUUUUUCAUUAACUAUAGCCAACUGAUAUUUUUCUCUCCAUGACUUGAUAUCAUCCGCACAAUAUUUCUUGUUUCUGUCUCUAAACAUUUGCAAUGUCGAUUCGCGCAUUCCUUUCUUUUUGUGCUUGCAGUUGGCAUUGACGUCACUCGUUCAUCUUCUACGUAGAGAACUUCAUUAGGCUCCUGAGCUUUCUCUUUUUUGUCUAUACCUAUAUCUUCUCACGUCUGCGCAACGAUACUAAUUAGUGCUCUCGUUUUUGUAAAUAUUCAGUUAUGUAGAACAUAUCCCAGAAAAUUGAAAUGCCAGUGAGCAAUGUGCACCAUGCCCUGACUGUUUUAUUAUAAGGCUAACGGUGAUAACACCGCUGCCUUAGUUGCCAGUGGGCAGCUAGCAGAAUACAACAUUUCACAUUUAUGGUAUGGCCAUCUUGUAUAAAAACAACGUGAGCUUAUGCUCUCGAUUCCUGGGGCCAUUUUAAUAUAAACACUCGCGUUUGUAUGCAGUGCUCUCGCUUUUUCGGAGGGCCAGAUUUUAAUUUCGACUGAGUGCAUUUGAUUGCAGUGCCCUGAACAUUACGUGUCAACGCACCUAUCAGGACGCCGUUGUAGAGACAAAGAUUUGCUCACGCCACCUCGAAGUCCAAUGGAGAGAACGCAUCCGCCGAGCCACGUACCGCAGGCAACAAUGACAGAGAAAUGAAGGAGGGUUGAGGUUAUGGGCUCAUGGCCAUCUCCAGCUGCAUGGACUCUCACAAUGACCGCUCCAACUCAUCUGGCAACUUUGGUGCGUUCCUACAAAGACGAGCGCGCCGCGUCUUUUGUUCCAACACGUCUUAUUGCUGAAUAAAACUUCCGCUUGCUUUG